UACGAAGGGGGCUAGCGUUGCUCGGAAUCACUGGGCGUAAAGCGCACGUAGGCGGAUUCCUAAGUCGGUGGUGAAAUCCUGGAGCUCAACUCCAGAACUGCCUCCGAUACUGAGAGUCUCCGAGUCCGGGAGAGGUGAGUGGAACUGCGAGUGUAGAGGUGAAAUUCGUAGAUAUUCGCAAGAACACCAGUGGCGAAGGCGGCUCACUGGCCCGGUACUGACGCUGAGGUGCGAAAGCGUGGGAGCAAACAGG
rnacentral:rRNA from 1 species